rnacentral:rRNA from 1 species
AACUAACGCUGGCGGCGUGCCUAACACAUGCAAGUCGUACGAGAAAGUUGGCUUCGGCCGAUGAGUAAAGUGGCGCACGGGUGAGUAAUGCGUGGAUAAUCUGCCCUUUAGUUGGGAAUAACGUACCGAAAGGUGCGCUAAUACCUGAUAAUACUGCAUAACUACUGUUGUGUAGUCAAAAGAAGGCCUCUGUUUACAAGCUUUUGCUGAAGGAUGAGUCCGCGUACCAUUAGCUGGUUGGUGGGGUAAUGGCCUACCAAGGCUACGAUGGUUAGCUGGUCUGAGAGGAUGAUCAGCCACACUGGAACUGAGACACGGUCCAGACUCCUACGGGAGGCAGCAGUGAGGAAUAUUGCGCAAUGGGGGCAACCCUGACGCAGCAACGCCGCGUGAGUGAGGAAGGUUUUCGGACCGUAAAGCUCUGUCGAGCGGGAAGAAAUGUAUCAUGGCUAAUAUCCAUGAUACUUGACGGUACCGCUAAAGGAAGACG